CUCUUCCACUCCUUGGGUCUUUCCCGAUUAGGUUCUUCCCAUGGCGUAAUCGAUGAUGGCCUCCUUGGCUCAACGGGUUCUGGCCUUGGUGGCCUCAUCGUCCUAGCCGAGCAGCUCAAUAUCAACCGCGUUUUCUCUUACAAGUACUGUUGUGGAGGAGGCGAUGAUAGCAAUAAGGGAGGAUCGGAUUGUGUGGUGUGCUUGUGCACGCUAAGAGAUGGGGACCAGGUCAGGAAGCU
rnacentral:misc_RNA from 1 species